CCUUGUCCCCCUCCUGGCUCCAGAAGGGCAGCAUAGGCCCAGAAGCUGCAGGCGUGGACAGAAACGAGGUCUCCCGGGCUCCGGGUGCGGAAGGCUCAGUGGAAACUUUCUGAGUGGUUGUCUUCAAAAGGCCCACCUAGCACAGGACUCCAGAGAAUGCUUCGUUGAGCCCGGAGCAGCUGUCCAGACCUGGUGUCCAGAGUGAUCCAGCAGCUCCACGCAGCAAGCUCCAGAGAUCAGCCACAGACUGGUGCCCCCCCACCCCAGGCAGCAAUCGGCUGCAUCAUGGCCUCACUGGGGCACAGAUCAAGGUGAAGCAGGAUAAGGAAGAGAUCUUCCCCAGUGGAAGAGGAUGGAGAAGACCCUCACGGUGUAGCGGCUUCCCCAGAGGUUCCCACACCGCCUUGUGCCCCAGUGGGCUUUGAAGCCACAAGAGUCCUCUUUGCUAAGGUAUUGUGGACUGCAGUAACCCGGAGCGCCCACUAGAGGUCACACCACAACCUCUUUAAAAGGAAUGGUCAGAUUGACAGACGGUGCCUGUAGAUGGGAGAGCUAACGUAGGAGGUAGACUACAUCAGUGCCAGAUCAUGACCCCUCCAUGAGCCCCCAUCUGUAAUGCCAGCUCCCCCAUGUGUAAUCUCAGUUCCAGAAAGCAUCCACCCCUGCCCUCACAGCUGGCUGGCUGCUGUUUCCCACAGGAUGAGAAAAGGCUGGAAAGGAAAGGGAAAGUCUGGCGAAACCACCUGAUAUUUGCUUUAAAGUAUUUCAGGUCUGGAGCUGGACCUCAGAGGUAGGCACCUGCCUGGUGUCACCCCCACCCCUGUGAAAAUGAAACUGUCUCAGAGACCUGUGUGGAGACAUACCAGUCCAUCACUAGUCGCACCGCACCUUCCCAUCUGGACCCCAAUUUCUCAUUCUGACAGGAGGCCACUGCACCUCAGAUAUGUCUGAAGCAGGGUGCCACCCUGGGGGAGGGCAGAAGCCCAAUGGUGGCCACAAAGCAGGAGCGGGCGUUAACUGCAUGCUUUUUAAGUUUCAUAGGUUGCAUAUCUGUGUGUGUGUGUGUUGUGUAUGCAUAGCUAUACACAUCUGUGAAGUCCUGAGGUUGACACUGAGUGUCCUCAAUUGCUC
rnacentral:lncRNA from 1 species